rnacentral:lncRNA from 1 species
GGCUCACUGUGCUGGGGCAUUGGGAUGCCAUAUGGUCAUCAUGCCUUUGGCCUGUCUCCCAGUCCAUUGAGACGCUGCGGGUGGAUGGCAGCGGACGCCACUCCUUCCCUGCUGUCCUGCGGAGCCACACAGAGCCGCUGGGCCUGGCUGUGUUUGAGAGCCGCUUCUUCUGGACUGAUGGCACCGAGCUGGUGUCAGCCAGCCAGGCCUCUCCGCAGGAGCAUGCUGUAUUGCUCCGGGCCCCCGUUUCAGCCUUCACUGUGCUGCAUGCACUGCAGCAGCCACCACGAGACACUGCUGCAUGCGCUCCAGGCUUGUGCAGCCACCUCUGCCUUCUGUCCCCCGUGCACCCUCGAGGCUACAGGUGUGCAUGUCCAGAGGGACUCUACCUCCAGCCCUCAGGGAAAUGCACAGAGCUGUCCAUCAUGUACUCAUCGAGGACAGCGAUCCUCCUGCUGCAGGUGGGCCCUGGAACACACAGCCGACAGGUGCAGGAGUGGCAGGAGGCCUUCCACCUGCAGGAUGUAG